AGGGGUAUAGUUCAAUGGUACAGCAUAUGAUUAGCAUGCACAAGGUCCUGGAUUCUAUUCCCACUACCUCUG
rnacentral:tRNA from 1 species